UACGUAGGGGGCUAGCGUUGUCCGGAUUUAUUGGGCGUAAAGAGCGUGUAGGCGGCCAGGUAGGUCUGGUGUGAAAACUCGAGGCUUAACCUCGAGAUGUCAUCGGAAACCAUCUGGCUAGAGUCCGGAAGAGGAGAGUGGAAUUCCUGGUGUAGCGGUGAAAUGCGCAGAUAUCAGGAAGAACACCAAUGGCGAAGGCAGCUCGCUGGGACGUGACUGACGCUGAGACGCGAAGGCUGGGGGAGCGAACGGG
rnacentral:rRNA from 1 species